rnacentral:rRNA from 1 species
CUGGGUAGCUAUGUGUGGACGGGAUAAGUGCUGAAAGCAUCUAAGCAUGAAGCCCCCCUCAAGAUGAGAUUUCCCAACUUCGGUUAUAAGAUCCCUCAAAGAUGAUGAGGUUAAUAGGUUCGAGGUGGAAGCAUGGCGACAUGUGGAGCUGAUGAAUACUAAUCGAUCGAAGACUUAAUCAAAA